rnacentral:rRNA from 1 species
AACGAACGCUGGCGGCAGGCCUAACACAUGCAAGUCGAGCGGACAUCUUCGGAUGUUAGCGGCGGACGGGUGAGUAACGCGGGGGAACGUGCCCUUUGCUUCGGAAUAGCCUCGGGAAACUGGGAGUAAUACCGGAUGUACCCUUUGGGGGAAAGAUUUAUCGGCAAAGGAUCGGCCCGCGUUGGAUUAGGUAGUUGGUGGGGUAAUGGCCUACCAAGCCGACGAUCCAUAGCCGGUCUGAGAGGGUGAUCAGCCACACGGGAACGGAGACACGGCGCAGGCUCCGACGGGAGGCAGCAGUAGGGAAUCUUCCGCAUGGGGCGAGAGCGUGACGGAGCAGCGGCGCGGGAGUGAAGAAGGUCUUCGGAUCGGAAAAAGCUGUUAUUAGGGAAGAACAAAGGUGCAAGUAACUAUGCACGUCUUGACGGUACCUAAUCAGAAAGCCACGGCUAACUACGUG